rnacentral:rRNA from 1 species
GAUGAACGCUGGCGGCGUGCCUAAUACAUGCAAGUCGAGCGAUUGGAUUAAGAGCUUGCUCUUAUGAAGUUAGCGGCGGACGGGUGAGUAACACGUGGGUAACCUGCCCAUAAGACUGGGAUAACUCCGGGAAACCGGGGCUCAUACCGGAUAACAUUUUGAACCGCAUGUUUCGAAAUUGAAACGCGGCUUCGGCUGCCAAGUAUGGAUGGACCCGCGUCGCAGUAGCUAGGUGGUGAGGUAACGGCUCACCAAGGCAACGAUGCGUAGCCGACCUGAGAGGGUGAUCGGCCACACUGGGACUGAGACACGGCCCAGAGUCCUACGGGAGGCAGCAGUAGGGAAUCUUCCGCAAUGGACGAAAUUCUGACGGAGCAACGCCGCGUGAGUGAUGAAGGCUUUCGGGUCGUAAAACUCUGUUGUUAGGGAAGAACAAGUGCUAGUUGAAUAAGCUGGCACCUGGACGGUACCUAACCAGAAAGCCACGGCUAACUACGUGCCAGCCGCCGCAGUAA